rnacentral:misc_RNA from 1 species
UACAGAGACUCUGCCCUAUGGGUAGACCUCCCACCCUGUGUCGUUAUACCUUUGUUGCUUUGGUGGGCCGUGGGGCCCGGCCCUGCCCCUGGCUCCGGCUAGGGCGCGCCCACCAGAGGAUCUCAAAACCUGAACGUUAGUGUCGUCUGAGUGCUAUAUAAUAGUUAAAACUUUCAACAACGGAUCUCUUGGUUCUGGCAUCGAUGAAGAACGCAGCGAAAUGCGAUAAGUAAUGUGAAUUGCAGAAUUCAGUGAAUCAUCGAAUCUUUGAACGCACCUUGCGCCCCUUGGCUAUUCCGAAGGGCAUGCCUGUUUGAGUAUCAUGAACACCUCAACUCCCGUGGUUUGCCAUGGUGAGCUUGGACUUUGGAGGUUUUGCUGGCCCAUGGUCAGCUCCUCUCAAAUGAAUUAGCCUGCCAGUGUUUGGUGGCAUCACAGGUGUGAUAAAUAUCUACGCUUGCGAUUGCCCACCAGGUAACCUUCAGCAAUGGGGGUUCGCUGGGGCUCAUAGACGUCUCUCCCUCGGCGAGGACAGUUUUUUUAACGUUCG